UGAGAGGAAGAUGAGGACUGAGGAAGUCAUGGCUGAGUGAAGUUGAUGAAACUCAAAAAGAGGUGCUAUGGCCAGUGUUGGUCUAGAAAACAGAACAGGGGCACAUUUUUACUUUCAUGGGCAACUUUUCUGCAUUAAAUACACACAUAUGCCUCCUUUAAUAAAAGGAUUUGAAACAUCUUGAUGGCAUAACUGAGUGGUCUCAAAUUAUUUUAUCAGGUAUAGAGAAGCUUCCCUAUUUAUACAAUUGCUUGGAUGAACAGAAAUCUGGAGUAACUGCAAAUCUAACACAAAUGUAAAAGGAGCUCUCUUGGUUUGAUGUGCCAAUCCUUAGCAAAUUAGCUGUGGCCUUGUGGGAAAUAGAGAUUACACAUAUAUGGAAUAAACAUUUGUUACUGGACUGUAAAUCUUCAUACAUCCUUCCAUCACACAUUCUCUCCAGAGCUUAGAAGUAAUAGAUACAGUCAUAUUGAUUCUAUCCAUGAAAAUUAUGAAUCCACAUUUAUUGAUGAUAUGUACAUAAAAAAUCCAACAUUUAGUGAAA